rnacentral:rRNA from 1 species
UACGGAGGAUGCAAGCGUUAUCCGGAAUGAUUGGGCGUAAAGCGUCCGCAGGUGGCAAUGUAAGUCUGCUGUCAAAGCGUCUGGCUCAACCAGAUAAAGGCAGUGGAAACUACAUAGCUAGAGUAAGGUAGGGGUAGAGGGAAUUCCUGGUGUAGUGGUGAAAUGCGUAGAGAUCAGGCGGAACACCCGUGGCGAAGGCAGCUCGCUGGGACGUGACUGACGCUGAGACGCGAAAGCGUGGGGAGCAAACAGG